GCAACAUCUUGAGGCACCUGUGCUGUUUUCCAUCUGCAGGUGCAGCAUGGAUCUGUCCUCGUGCUGCUGCAGCCGGUGUGGUUGGAAGGGCACCAGGGACCUGGCUCUGACCGCAGGCUCACAGCAGUACCUAGUGCUGGUCUGACCCCAAACACUCCUGUGGAACAUCUCCCAUAGCAUCAAUCACAAGUGCAGAAAAAUGCGCCGUGUCUCAUUGGUAUAAAUCAGUUGUGAACCUGUUGAGAUCAAUACGGUAAUACUAAUGGAGAAAUGGUGAGACAAGCUUUGAAAUUAAACUCUAUGGCCAAGAUAAAUUCACAUUGAAACCUUGAGCUUUUGCCAGCAUGAAUCUGAAGGAUACUGUAUAUUUAUCCUAUCCGUCCAGAAAGAUGAAACAGCUGAAUAUUUUCCCUAUAGAGCAAGACAUCCCUGAAUGUUGCUUGUACCGAUUAAUCAUCUUAAAACCAGACUGA
rnacentral:lncRNA from 1 species